rnacentral:rRNA from 1 species
UUGAACGCUGGCGGCAGGCCUAACACAUGCAAGUCGAGCGGCAGCACAGAGGAACUUGUUCCUUGGGUGGCGAGCGGCGGACGGGUGAGUAAUGCCUGGGAAAUUGCCCUGAUGUGGGGGAUAACCAUUGGAAACGAUGGCUAAUACCGCAUGAUGCCUACGGGCCAAAGAGGGGGACCUUCGGGCCUCUCGCGUCAGGAUAUGCCCAGGUGGGAUUAGCUAGUUGGUGAGGUAAUGGCUCACCAAGGCGACGAUCCCUAGCUGGUCUGAGAGGAUGAUCAGCCACACUGGAACUGAGACACGGUCCAGACUCCUACGGGAGGCAGCAGUGGGGAAUAUUGCACAAUGGGCGCAAGCCUGAUGCAGCCAUGCCGCGUGUAUGAAGAAGGCCUUCGGGUUGUAAAGUACUUUCAGUCGUGAGGAAGGUUGUAGUGUGAAUAGCACUAUGAUUUGACGUUAGCGACAGAAGAAGCACCGGCUAACUCCGUGCCAGCAGCCGCGGUAAUACGGAGGGUGCGAGCGUUAAUCGGAAUUACUGGGCGUAAAGCGCAUGCAGGUGGUUUGUUAAGUCAGAUGUGAAAGCCCUGGGCUCAACCUAGGAGUUGCAUUUGAAACUGACAAGCUAGAGUACUGUAGAGGGGGGUAGA